GACGAACGCUGGCGGCGUGCUUAACACAUGCAAGUCGAACGGAAAGGCCCUGCUUUUGUGGGGUGCUCGAGUGGCGAACGGGUGAGUAACACGUGAGUAACCUGCCCUUGACUUUGGGAUAACUUCAGGAAACUGGGGCUAAUACCGGAUAGGAGCUCCUGCUGCAUGGUGGGGGUUGGAAAGUUUCGGCGGUUGGGGAUGGACUCGCGGCUUAUCAGCUUGUUGGUGGGGUAGUGGCUUACCAAGGCUUUGACGGGUAGCCGGCCUGAGAGGGUGACCGGCCACAUUGGGACUGAGAUACGGCCCAGACUCCUACGGGAGGCAGCAGUGGAGAAUAUUGCGCAAUGAGCGGACGCCUGAUGCAGCAACGCCGCGUGCGGGAUGACGGCCUUCGGGUUGUAAACCGCUUUCGCCUGUGACGAAGCGUGAGUGACGGUAAUGGGUAAGAAAGCACCGGCUAACUACGUG
rnacentral:rRNA from 1 species